GCUCUGUAGCUCAGUUGGUUAGAGCGCUGCACCAGAGUCGCAGGGCUGCAGGUUCAAUUCCUGACAUAGGGCC